UACGUAGGGUGCAAGCGUUGUCCGGAAUUAUUGGGCGUAAAGAGCUCGUAGGCGGUUCGUCACGUCGGCUGUGAAAUCCCGAGGCUCAACCUCGGGUCUGCAGUCGAUACGGGCGGACUGGAGUACUGCAGGGGAGACUGGAAUUCCUGGUGUAGCGGUGAAAAUGCGCAGAUAUCAGGAGGAACACCGGUGGCGAAGGCGGGGUCUCUGGGCAGUAACUGACGCUGAGGAGCGAAAAGCGUGGGGGAGCGAACAGG
rnacentral:rRNA from 1 species